rnacentral:rRNA from 1 species
AAUGAACGCUGGCGGCAGGCCUAACACAUGCAAGUCGAACGGAUCCUUCGGGAUUAGUGGCGGACGGGUGAGUAACGCGUGGGAAUAUACCCUUUGGUACGGAAUAGCCUCGGGAAACUGGGAGUAAUACCGUAUGUGGUCGAGAGACGAAAGAAUUAUCGCCAAAGGAUUGGCCUGCGUUGGAUUUGGUAGUUGGUGGGGUACUGGCCUACCAAGCCGACGAUCCAUAGCUGGUUUGAGAGGAUGAUCAGCCACACUGGGACUGAGACACGGCCCAGACUCCUACGGGAGGCAGCAGUGGGGAAUCUUAGACAAUGGGGGAAGCCCUGAUCUAGCCAUGCCGCGUGAUCGAUGAAGGCCUUAGGGUUGUAAAGACCUUUCAGGUGGGAAGAUAAUGACUGUACCACCAGAAGAAGCCCCGGCUAACUCCGUGCCAGCAGCCGCCGUAA